AUAGAAGCACAUACCACUCUUGUUCUACAACUUUGGACAAUGGUACUGAACACAUAAAUAAUUUUCCCAAGCAUGAACAAACUGUUUGCAGCAUAAGAAUAUCAGUGAGAAAAAAAAACUUUGUUUUCAGGCAAGAUUCAACUCUGUCCAAAAAAAAUUGAUUGUUUUCUUUUUUAACUAACCUGACCAAAUGAUAAUAUGGUAAGAUAAGAUGAUUGUACCACACCUUACGGUAAACUGGGCCAGUUGGAGCAUUAGCAGCAGAAACAACAGUAACAGGAGGAAAGGGCUACAUUGAAUAUAGAACUACAGAUUUACUCAAAUGUUAAUACUUUUUACAAUUCAGAAACUUGAAUAAAGCAGUCAAACGUUGAGGUUUCUUACACCAUGAGCU
rnacentral:lncRNA from 1 species